ACGAAGGGUGCAAGCGUUAAUCGGAAUUACUGGGCGUAAAGCGCGCGUAGGUGGUUUGUUAAGUUGAAUGUGAAAGCCCCGGGCUCAACCUGGGAACUGCAUCCAAAACUGGCAAGCUAGAGUAUGGCAGAGGGUGGUGGAAUUUCCUGUGUAGCGGUGAAAUGCGUAGAUAUAGGAAGGAACACCAGUGGCGAAGGCGACCACCUGGGCUAAUACUGACACUGAGGUGCGAAAGCGUGGGGAGCAAACAGG
rnacentral:rRNA from 1 species